rnacentral:rRNA from 1 species
UACGUAGGGGGCUAGCGUUGUCCGGAAUCAUUGGGCGUAAAGCGCGUGUAGGCGGUCCGGUAAGUCCGCUGUGAAAGUCGGGGGCUCAACCCUCGAAUGCCGGUGGAUACUGUCGGGCUAGAGUCCGGAAGAGGAGAGUGGAAUUCCUGGUGUAGCGGUGAAAUGCGCAGAUAUCAGGAAGAACACCUAUGGCGAAGGCAGCUCUCUGGGACGGUACUGACGCUGAGGUGCGAAAGCGUGGGGAGCAAACAGG